UUCGGCAGUCGUCGGAACCACAUUUUUCGUCGUCUCCAUAUGGGUGUGCUUUCGACUUGUACCAAGCUUCAUCCUUAGCCAUUCCUUACCAGGUCUCCCGGCCUUUUUGUACCGAGCCGACCCAUCCCAUCAGCAGCUCCAAUCAACAUAAUUAGCCAACCCAGACCCUUUCCCCAAUUCCAAUUUUCAACCUUAAAAGAGAUGGCUUUGAUGGCAGUGUUGGAGUCAGAUCUUCGAGCUUUAUCGGCAGAAGCUCGCAGGCGAUAUCCUGCCGUCAAAGAUGCUGCUGAACACGCUAUUUUGAAGUUAAGAUCGUUGUCGAGCCCCAGUGAGAUAGCACAUAACGAGGAUAUACUUAACAUAUUUUUGAUGGCCUGUGAAGUUAGGAAUGUAAAAAUGAGCGUCAUCGGACUUUCUUGUCUGCAAAAACUCAUUUCUCACGAUGUAGUUGCUACUUCAG
rnacentral:misc_RNA from 1 species